AGAUGACUUUCUAGAUUGACGUGAAACGUUUUAGCUGUUGUGAAGGUGCAAACUCAAAGUCAAAGGAAUACGUAUUUAUGUUCAUAUGUCUUUAGAUUUUUUAUGCUCAAUGGUGUAUGUUGGUUGUAGUGAAAAGAGGAAUUUUGGUUAUUAUUUAACUUUUUAGGCGGAACAAAAUUUAUAAAGUGAAAAAGUUGCAGACCAGUUUUGGAUCACACAAUUGCAACACAAGAUUUCCCUCGUGAAUCGUGUUCCUUGAAGUGGAAGCUACGAGUUCAUCUCUCAGUCUGACUGGGCAAAAUUCAAAAUUGAAACCUUCCUAAAAGUGAUCAGUGAAGACAGCAUCACACACCAUAGCAAGCUGCAGCGUUUUCUGCUUUGUCAUUGGACUCCACAAGUUAUUGGCACAAGCAGGGAGGCAAGCUAUAACCAAAGCACAUUGCCUUACUUCAUUGCCCCAAGGCCAUCUACAACACAGCAAAACAUAGUCAUCCUUCAUCGGCUUCACUCUAUAAGGCUGAAAGUGACUCCGGCUCUCCAUGGAGAUGUAGCACUCGUAAUGAAGCAAGAUGAAUGCAAUCGCCUGAUUAACAACAGCAGGAUCAAAGCGUUGAUAGCUACGACGAGGCGGGGAAAGACGCUGCCCAUUAGUCAAUUUGUUAAAGUCACUCAACCCUUUGACGUAAGUGUUAUUACUCAGACUGAAUUCUUUGUAAACGUUUACUAAUUGGGCAACUUUACUUCUCCCUGUUGAACCACACAAAUAUGCCCUUGCCACUCGCGGUUCUUUCUGAGACUUUUUUGAACGAACAAUCGUUCGAAUUAAAGGCAACGUCAGAGCAUGCUCUGCUACAUCACGAAAAUUUGUUAAGGCAUAAGCGAUUGAUAGAGAUCCUGCUGGGCCACAUAACAAAGCGGCAAUUUGGGAAAAAAGGCUGGUCCUUGACAACGAUGAAGACAGCGACUUCCUCAACGUGGAAUGAACAUCGAUGUUGAAUGCUGCGAAGAGAUCGGAUGCGGAAGUUAUGCCUCUCAUUGAUUCAUCAAGACAGUUGUCCCUCACGCUUCUACCUCUUUUACGGCUAAUUUUAUUCUCAACGGAUCGCCCGUCGUGGUCACAUUCACAUCUGGGGCACCGAGAACAAGUCACACACAACUUUAUUUUACAGCGGCAAACAGAAGUCAUGACGGAAGCAAAAAGGAUUUGACACUGAGCUUUCCUGACGUAGAAAAAGGCUUUCAAGGGAAGACGUGAACUACAUAAAGUUUUAUUAGUGCGACAUAAAAGUUAACCGAGAUAAACUUAUCCCAUACAUUUUUUCCCAUUCAAGGUUAACUUUUCUACCAUGAAUAUGCGUCAUCGGGCCGGAAUCUAACCAAAAUUCUACCCUUUCUGAGCAGUUCAACGGAGAUGUCUUUGCAUGGUAAACCUACACGGUAACAUUGUUUUAGUUGGUGAUUUAUCGCUUUAACAUUUUAUGUCCAGUGCAAUGUUACUUAUAUUUGUGUUACGGAAUGUAGUAGCUGAGCGGACACAUCAACCCACUUGUGCUAUAUUUUCUUAUUUGU